rnacentral:misc_RNA from 1 species
UUAUAGACAAACAUGCGUUGAAAAGUAGAAUAUUACAACCUUCACAUCUAAUAACAUAAAAUGCGUAUAGACAGACAACAGCAUCCCAUAGUUUAAUGGUGUUACAAGCACCCUCAAACAGACAACUCCGAUCAUGGGCUUCAAACUAGCAUAUCCCAUCACACUUUCAUAAAAACUAGCAGCAAUUAAGUCAUGUANUCAAGCAGAACCUAACUAAGUAAUCCAAAAGGAUGCAGCCGCACAAAAUCGAACCAUACAGUUAUCCCCGCAACUUUAUAAUAAAAGCAUACUCUUGAAUGAUGCUCUCUAUUCCAGUCAUAAAUGCUUGUAGACAUCUUAAGUAAGUAUUCAACUAAAGAAUUCAUUCAACACAGUUAUACAUACUUGAAUAGAUAUAUAAAUGCCCAUAUGCCAUUUCCCUUAGCUCUUUCACACCCACUACCUCUAUAACAAACUUAUCCAUAUAAGACCAAAAUAUGCCCACAAACAAAUCUAAGCAAUUCACAUCCGAAAAUUACACUUGGACCAACAGAAGGGUGUGUGAUCUCAUCCAUCACCUGAAACUCCGCUUAUUUGCAGACCUUCGUCUACUCUGAGUUGAGUAACGAGGUUCUGAUUGGGAACCAUUCUCUCCAAAUCCUCUAAUUUCCAUUUUACCCUCCAUCCCAAAUGGCUGCCUUCUCCUAUAAGGCUCAGACUUGGGAGAAUCUAACCUCUUUUUUUUGUUCACAUCAUACAUUAAUGGUUCAAUUCCCUGCAAAUCAGGCGCUGGAACAAAGCCAAUUGGCCGUUUCGCUUCAUCCAUUUUCCUAAAUGUAAUAGAUAUCCUCUUUGUUGGAACUGAAGGCACACAGUGCUUAGAAACAUCAGCUGAAUUUCCAUUCAAUACAAGAACAGAUCCCACUGGCAGAGGGAUUGCAAUUGAUCCAGUAAACUC